AUAGCUGGUUCUAGGACCAUAUUUGCAAAUCACUGCACCAAUUUAUGUGUUGUAAUUGGUGUUUGAGUCUCCAGCUUCCCCUCUCAACUCCCGCCACUUUGUGGAACACCCUCAGUGCCCAGGGGUCUCUUGUCCUUGGUCCUGGUUCUCCCUGGGCUGCCUUGAGACUUUGCAGUGUGCCAAUAAGAGGAUGUAUAUGAGACCCUUACUCGUACUUUUCUCUUGUGAAGCUAAUCACACUGGACCUUUAGGCCCAUUCUUCCUGACAUUUAGUCUUUGACUCUGAAUUAGCUGGGACAUGAGAAGUUCACCACAGGAAGGUCCUGCCCUUUGUUUGCUCCUAAAGGUUCCUUUAAAGUUCAACUUGACCAACACAACAUUGCAAGCACUCCAGAGGAGAAGACAGCCUUGCUGUGUCCAAUCCACUUUAGUUUGUAAAUUUCUUGUCAGUCACUUUUAUGCCCCCACUGGAUAGGACAGUGUGAAGCAUGGAUUAAGUAUGCAAUAAAUGGUUGUUGAAUAAAUCAGAAAAUUAAAUGCAUUCUGCACAGAA